GGGCUACUCUGCAUCCUGGCACUCUAUGUAUCCAUUGACUCCCCGGUGGCCUAGAGCCAAGCCGAUGGCAUUCCCUCCAGAGGCACAAGCACAUGCCAAUGUCUGUCUGGUUUCCUGUUUUCCGAACAAAAAUUCAUUUUUCUGAGUGGGGUCACCUCUGGUGAUAACAAAUAGGAGCUGCUUCUGAGAUUUCUACAAAAUUCCAGGCAUUCACAUCAGCUCAAGGAUGUGACCUCAGCAGAGUACACUGGCCUUCCUCUCCUUCUGGGCAGUCCCUUCAGACUUUCCGUCUAUAGGAGCCUGAAGGAUUUCCUGUUUCUCCAAGGCCAAGGGGCCAAAGCUUGUUCGUCUCCAUCUUUGCCACAGCUGGACAAGACGAAUACAACACACACUUGUUUUCUGGUGAAAUGGAAUUUCGCUUUUUGUUUUCUGGCUUUUUUUUUUUUUUUGGUAUCAAUUUAUAUACUUAUAUGACUUUCCUUCCUCAGCCCGCUGAUAUGGUGGAUUACACUGAUGAUUUUCAAAUGUU